AACGAACGCUGGCGGCAUGCCUAACACAUGCCAGUCGAACGAGACCUUCGGGUCUAGUGGCGCACGGGUGCGUAACGCGUGGGAACCUGCCCUUAGGUUCGGAAUAACUCCCCGAAAGGGGUGCUAAUACCGGCUAAUGUCUUCGGACCAAAGAUUUAUCGCCUUUGGAUGGGCCCGCGUUGGAUUAGCUAGUUGGUAGGGUAAAAGCCUACCAAGGCGACGAUCCAUAGCUGGUCUGAGAGGAUGAUCAGCCACACUGGGACUGAGACACGGCCCAGACUCCUACGGGAGGCAGCAGUGGGGAAUAUUGGACAAUGGGCGAAAGCCUGAUCCAGCAAUGCCGCGUGAGUGAUGAAGGCCUUAGGGUUGUAAAGCUCUUUUACCCGGGAUGAUAAUGACAGUACCGGGAGAAUAAGCACCGGCUAACUCCGUG
rnacentral:rRNA from 1 species